rnacentral:lncRNA from 1 species
GGUACCGAUGACUUAUAGUAUAAUGUAGAAGCAGGAUUUUGUCAUUGGUAGUUCUGUCACUAUAUAACUUAUUCUAUUGCCAGGCUUAUUAAUGUUAUAUUUUUGUUGUCAGGGCACAAAGUAAUUCAAUGUGUUUGGUUAGAGUAAGAACUACAAGUUUUCCUUUAAGAAAGAAACUUUUUGUUCAUUGUUUCUCGUAUGAAUCUG